AUGUGUGACGAGCUGUUGCUGAUCUUCGGGUCGGGGGUCAGGCUCAGCGUUGAAGCCAAGGAAGUGUCCGAACCAUCCUACUUCCAACUGGCAGAUCCUGGUAACAACAAUGGGUCCUGGUGUCUCGCUGUUGGCUUCAGCCAACAAAACGCAACAGACAAAAAAGAAGAUGCAGAAUAUCCGGAACUUUUCAGUCGUACCGAGGCCGUCCGGAUUAAUGGCAGCUCUCUGUUCAACGAGGUGGCUUGGAUUGAUUCUCCAAAUGAUGAACGGUGCAAGUCAGUUUCAGAGGGUGAUGUAAAAUGUGAGGAAACUCUGAAUCCAGAUGAGAAAGUGAACUUCAUGUCUUUGACCAUCCUGGGACUCAGACUGCUGUUUGUGAAGACCGUCGUGUUCAACGUGCUGAUGACGCUGAAGCUGUGGAUGAGUCAAUCGUUGACCUUUCCAGUCUUUAACCAACUUCACAAGUUGAGUAUCCGAAUUCGAUAUUUUAAAGAGACAGACGAUACGACUCUCAGCCAAUCAACGCAGCGUUCUGAGCUCGUCAGAUCUUCACCAGAGAAACACGAGUCUGAGACGGAGCCGAUGAAGCGUCGACUCGUCGCUUGCUGUCGUUCAUAA